UACGUAGGGUGCGAGCGUUAAUCGGAAUUACUGGGCGUAAAGCGUGCGCAGGCGGUUCGCUGUGUCCGAUGUGAAAGCCCCGGGCUUAACCUGGGAAUGGCAUUGGAAACUGGCGGGCUUGAGUGCGGCAGAGGGGGAUGGAAUUCCGCGUGUAGCAGUGAAAUGCGUAGAUAUGCGGAGGAACACCGAUGGCGAAGGCAAUCCCCUGGGCCUGCACUGACGCUCAUGCACGAAAGCGUGGGGAGCAAACAGG
rnacentral:rRNA from 1 species